rnacentral:rRNA from 1 species
UGUGGAAUAUUGGACAAUGGGGGCAACCCUGAUCCAGCCAUGCCGCGUGAGUGAUGAAGGCCUUCGGGUUGUAAAGCUCUUUUGGCGGGGACGAUGAUGACGGUACCCGCAGAAUAAGCCCCGGCUAACUUCGUGCCAGCAGCCGCGGUAAGACGAAGGGGGCAAGCGUUGUUCGGAAUUACUGGGCGUAAAGGGCGCGUAGGCGGUUUGCUUAGUCAGGCGUGAAAGCCCUGGGCUUAACCUGGGAUGUGCGCUUGAUACUGGCAGGCUUGAGUGUGGGAGAGGUUGGUGGAAUUCCCAGUGUAGAGGUGAAAUUCGUAGAUAUUGGGAAGAACACCGGUGGCGAAGGCGGCCAACUGGACCACAACUGACGCUGAGGCGCGAAAGCGUGGGGAGCAAACA